CCGACCUUAGCUCAGUUGGUAGAGCGGAGGACUAUAGUCGUUGCAGAUUAAUCCUUAGGUCACUGGUUUGAAUCCGGUAGGUCGGA
rfam:Triticum aestivum genome assembly, contig: Triticum_aestivum_CS42_TGACv1_scaffold_321703_4BL